GACAAGUGUUAAAUGAUGUCACUUCCGAAAGGGAAAAUCACUCUUAAAACAAAGGAGCUUCUGAAAUGUAGAUGCAUAUUUUUUGAUUUUAUGCUGCACUGUUGAAGUUUUCUGCCUCUAAUUGUAACACUGGUGAUGCAUUAUUUGUACCCUAUUGUUUAGAAAGUUUGUGUAUAAAUGAGCUGGAGAGACUGCUGGGGGGCUGCACCUGCCCUCAUCAGUUCUCUGAAUCUGGAGCUCUUCAUUAGUCAUGUCUAGAGUCAGUCGAUCAAGGAGUCAAGAGUCUGGACAUUUUUCUCUGACUCCACUAUUGUGGUUAAGGAUGAGUCUGGAACAAUAGAGAAUGUGCACAUCAAAGUAAAACACUUGUUGGAUACAUUUUAAUUAAACAUGAUAACAAAAGCUUUA